CUGUGUACAAUCGUGCUCAUCAGCUUGCUAGCUUGGUUUGAAAAAUUCUGGAAGAAGAUGGUGAUCACUGGAAGGAGCUGGAGAAGCCACACCUGAUUCCUUCUUCCCGGGACUGACGCCCUCCUGGUAUACCCUACACCAGGACCUCACGUGACUGACUUGUGCUUGGUGAUUGAAUCAUUCAUUCAGCAAACACCUCUGAGUGCCAGCUCUGUCUUUCUGAAGUCACUAGAUGGGAAAGAGAGGUCACUGGACUCUCGUGUGGCUCUCACUCAAAUAGUAAGUUCCUUGAGAAUGUGGACAGUGUCUGCUCAUGUGCACCUUCAUCUCCUUGAUACCCAGGGCAGUGCCCCGCACAGAGUAAAUGCUCUGAAGUACUUCCUGAAUAAAUGUGACGGAUAGUGUUACCAGUCAUCUUGAUAAUCUGGAAUCACCAAGAGACCACUGAAGAUAUCUGAGGACAGAAAAAACAGACUAGAAAUAUGCUCACAAUGGAGGGAGAGAGAAAAAGACAGAACAUAAUAAAAUAACCAAAAAUAGAGGCUGAAGACAAGAGCUGUCGUGCUCAUAGAUGUAUGGAGGAGUAACCUGGAACUCGAGCUGCAUUAAGUCGAUGGACUGGAAGUGACCAUACAGUUGAAAAGUUGAGUCUUAUUCUUGGGUGCCGGAGACCAAUGAGGAAAGGCUCACCUGGAUCACCUCCUGGGAUGCCUCUCUGUUCUACAGAUCCUUUUCUGGGCCAAACAGUGCCACCUCUGCUGUGGAUGCUGGGCAUGCAUUUAAGGGAAGAUGUGCUGAGCCUCCAUUUGUCUGACCCUGACCCUGAGUGUGGGGAAUGUGGAUCAGGAAGAGAUAGAGGGGAACUUACAGCACCCCUGGAGCCCAAGCAUAACCUGGCAGCCAGUGACCAUCGCUGUGAGGAAGCAAGCUCAAAGAGGCAAGCUCAUUUCAGUGUUUAUGGAAGCAAAACACGCCCAAGCUGUUGAAUACCCGGAUCUUCUCCAAAGACCUCCGGGCAGGUCACUAAUGAGCCAGUGGAAGCAGAGGCCAAGGAUGCCUCUGUGAACAUCAGCAGGAAGUUCCACCUGUGAGCCAGGGCAAGUGGGCUGGAGAGACCGCUCAGUGAGAGAGAGUACUGGCUGUUCUUCCAGAAGACAGGUUCUAUUGCCAGCACCCACAUGGCUGAUUCCAAGUGUCUGUAACUCUAGUUCCAGAGGAUCUGAUGCCCUCUUCUGGCCUCUGCAGGUAACAGACACACUGUGUGCUGCCCAGAUCCUCUUCUGGAAGGAACCACUAGCCAGUGAAAUAUCAGACACAUCUCCAAGGACUGCACCUUCAGAGACCUAGGUCUCUUUCCAGGGAGCUUCACAGCCAAGGAUGGUCAACGUCAGAUACUUCUACCUCUUUGUUACCCUCCUCUCCUCAUUCUUACCACAGGCUGGUCCCAUUGCCUCCCUGGUAAAUAAACAUCCUGCAACCUGGGCCUCCACCUCAGGCUAUCCAUGGGAUGUGACCUACGGUUGGAUUGACUCUCUUCAACUCUAUAGCCUUCAUUUCCUCUAGAUAGAUGGCUCUGAGCCCUCUAGGUCCAAGUGAGGUCCCGGCUGCUCCCAAGUGUAAACAGAGCAGCCAUUACUCUCCGUACAUCCCCAGGUACUGUGCUUACAAAGCUCUUUUGUGUUUAAAGUCUCAUCUGCUCACUCAUGUCUUUUCCCUAAUGACAUGGUGGAGCACCAGCUCAAUGUGGGAGUGAAGAGAUAAGGAAGAAAAUAGCUUUCCCUUCCUCGGAGAACUUGCAGCCCAGCAUAGCAGGCUGAUGCCCAUCCACUGAAGUCUCCCAGGUACUAAGGGUCACCAUGUGGAGGUCACAGAAGCCAUGAAGUGGAGCAGAGCAUAUGGCAAUCGAGGACAGUUUCUGGGAGAGAGGUGGCUGUGUAGAACCUGGAACUAGCAAGUGGAGAGCAAUCAACACAGCACUGGGCCUGAUCCAUUCUACCCCACAUACUUCCCACAGUGCAUCACUGCACACAGGAGGGUCUAUUGAUCUAAGCCAGGGGGCGAGGGUGGGAGGAGCCCAGUGGGUUCUGCUUCCCUCUAGGACUGCCUUCCUCCCUCUGCAUCAUCGGCUGGGGUCCAGGAAGUUGAGCUGGGCAGACAGAGGAGUGGAAGGGAAGGAUGGAAGUCCCAAGUGAUAGGUGGUAGGAUUCCAGCUAAUGAAUGUUUGAUCUUGGCAAACUGCCCCAGAUUCCACUUCAUGCCCUGGACUAACUAAAUCUUCCUUUGCUACUCUCCAAAGUCAACACAAUUUUCUAAAGUUUGUAACUUUGGUAGAAGAACUUAGAGAAAUAGAUGAAAACAAAACACAUGUAAGUAAGCUGUUAGCCCUUGACUGUAUUUGGGGCAUACUGAUG